AGGGGGGGGGGAAACGGGGGGUGUUGGUUUAUUUAUGGCGCUUUGUUCUGCGGCGCUGCUGUUGGGGAUGCGGUGGUGCAGGGAGAGACUUCAGCUUGGAGGGGAGGGUUUGGGGGUGGGGAUGUCCGAAAUGCUGGGGGUGAGCGGCUCCUGGGGGGGGUUCCACGUGGGAUAACAGCAAAAGCAAAGGGCCGGGCCGGGCUGGGCCAGCAGUGAGGCCAAAACGCACCGCUGUGCGCCCGAAAUCCGCUGCUGGGUGUGCAAAGUGUUGGCGGUGCGUCUUUGCAGAGGGGCAGCUCCCGCCACGGCCGUCCAAUUCCGCCUCUUUGGCAGUGGAUUCCCCGGGGUGCACUGCAUCUGUGCGCAGCCACGCCGUGUGUGCGUUGCACAGAGACACCGGCCCUUGGCGUGCUGCUGUGUGUGCAAGGGCGGGGCGGUGACGUGCAAUGGUCUGCAAGGACGUGCAAAGGUGUGCAAGGGUGUGUGAUUUGCAAGGAGGUGCGAAGGUGUGCAAGGAUGUGUGAGGGCAGACAACGGUGUGCAAUGGUGUGCAAAGGCGAGUAGGGGUUUGUGCAAGGAUGUGCAAAGGUGUGCAAGGAUGUGCAAAGGUGUGCAAGGGUGUGUGAUUUGCAAGGAGGUGCAAAGGUGUGCAAGGAUGUGUGAGGGCAGACAACGGUGUGCAAUGGUGUGCAAAGGUGAGUAAGGGUUUGCAAGGAUGUGCAAAGGUGUGCAAGGGUGUGUGAUUUGCAAGGAUGUGCAAAGGUGUGCAAGGAUGUGUGAGGGCAGACAACGGUGUGCAAUGGUGUCCAAAGGAGAGUAGGGGUUUGCAAGGAUGUGCAAAGGUGUGCAAGGAUGGGUGAGGGCAGACAGCAGUGUGCAAUGGUGUGCAAAGGUGAGUAAGGAUAUAGGAUGCAGGAUAUGGGAUGCAGGAUAUGGAAUUCAGGAUAUGGGAUGCAGGAUAUGGGAUGCGGGGAUAUGGGAUGCGGGAUAUGGGAUGCAGGAUAUGGGAUGCGGGAUAUGGGAUGCAGGAUGCAGGAUAUGGGAUGCGGGAUAUGGGAUGCCGGAUAUGGGAUGCCGGAUAUGGAUGCGGGGAUAUGGGAUGCAGGAUGCAGGAUAUGGGAUGUGGGAUAUGGGAUGCCGGAUAUGGAAUUCAGAAUAUGGGAUGCAGAAUAUGGGAUGCGUGAUAUAGGAUGUGGGAUAUGGGAUGCAGGAUAUGGGAUGCAGGAUAUGGGAUGCCGGAUAUGGGAUGCAGGAUAUGGGAUGUUGGAUAUGGGAUGCAGGAUAUGGGAUAUGGGAUGCGUGAUAUAGGAUGUGGGAUAUGGGAUGCUGGAUAUGGGAUGCCGGAUAUGGGAUUCGCGAUAUGGGAUGCGGGAUAUGGGAUGCGGGAUAUGGGAUGCGGGAUAUGGAAUUCAGGAUAUGGGAUGCCGGAUAUGGGAUGUGGGAUAUGGGAUGCGGGAUAUGGGAUGCAGGAUAUGGGAUACAGGAUAUGGGAUGCAGGAUAUGGAAUUCAGGAUAUGGGAUGCGGGAUAUGGGAUGUGGGAUAUGGGAUGCAGGAUAUGGGAUGAGGGAUAUGGGAUGCAGGAUAUGGGAUGCCAGAUAUGAAAUGCAGGAUUAUGGGAUAUGGGAUGCGUGAUAUAGGAUGUGGGAUAUGGGAUGCGGGAUAUGGGAUGCGGGAUAUGGGAUGCAGGAUAUGGGAUGUGGGAUAUGGGAUGCAGGAUAUGGGAUGAGGGAUAUGGGAUGCGGGAUAUGGGAUGCAGGAUAUGGGAUGCCGGAUAUGAAAUGCAGGAUAUGGGAUAUGGGAUGCGUGAUAUAGGAUGUGGGAUAUGGGAUGCGGGAUAUGGGAUGCGGGAUGCAGCCGCGGGCUGCGGGCUCGGGGAGGCGAUGCUGCGGGGCCGCAUUGUGCGGGGCUGCAGCGGGCGGCCGCAUACAAACAGGGAGAUGAAAAGGGCGAGAGGCCCCACGGGCGCGGGCUGUCGGGGUGAUGGAUGGGGGUGAGAUCGGGGUGAGGCCCCUCCUUCCGAGAGCCUCGAGAUGGCAAAACGAUGCGAGGAACGACAGAGCGGCGUUCGGCGAGAGAACGGCCCGGAAAGAGCCCGGAAAGGAGGAAAGGCGUUUUAUUGCAGCCGACCCGAAAGCUCCGCUCCUCCUCGGCGCGGCGGCUGCUUUUGUUUGGGGUCGGAGCUGUGUUGGUUUUCUUUCCCCCUUUUCGGGCUGUUUGAAUGCGAAUAAAGGAGCGCGGUGAGGACGCGUCAAUGGCAGAGAGAAGUGCCGUCUGUUUACACGGCUGUCGGCUUCGGAAUGAAUAACCCGCAGGAAUGGGGGGGGGGGGGAGGGGGCAAAAUGGCUUUUGGGGGUCGGUAGGGGGGUGAGGGGUCCCAAAAACGGCCUGUGAUGGAAAUGGGGUUUUGGCAAAGGGGCCCCAAAGCCGUUUCUUUCUCUCCCUUUUGCGGCGCUGUGCGGGGGAUGGGGGUUCGGGGUGGAGGGGGGGGGUGUGGGGUGACCCCAAAUCUGCCCCCCAUCGUCCCCAGACGGGACGGAGCGGAGUGGGGAAGCCGAUAAGCCGCUGUUACCGCCCCGUGGCGACGCCCCGUCCCCAUUGAACGGCCCGGCGGUGCGGCGGCGGAUGCGCUCUGCGACGCUGUAGGGUGGGUUUGUAAUGCCCUUCAUAGGACUGCAGCACUUUUCCCAGCUCCGUUCCUAUGCCAGCAGCGCAGCCGCCAUUCCCCGGGCACGGGACACAUCUCCGGGGGAGGGAUUCGGACCCGAGGGGGGGGGGGGGGUCCCAGCCCAAGCUGGGGGUCGCAGGUUGCAAUGAGCAGCUCAAUCCCACGGCUGCUUUCACCCCUUUGCUAUUGGGACGGCACCGGGGAUGGGUCUGGAAUGUGGGGCACCCCCCCCCCCACCCCAGAUCCUGGUCUGCUCUUCUUACACCCCCCCCCCCCUUCUCCCACCCCCCCAACGCUUUCCUUUGCUUUAUGGCCACCCCUCCCCAUCCAUCCCGCCGUCCCCCAUCCGCAGGGAGACAGCGCGAUGGAAUUCUGCCCGCAGAGUUACGCUGCGGGUUCGGCGCCGGGAUCACAGCAUCCAGCCGAGGAACAAUGGGGCUGAAGGGGGGGCGGGGGGGGGGUGCUGAGCCCUCUGUAUACAGAUCGGCGCUGGGAACCCGGCGACAAACCCCAAAUGUUCCUAAAUGCGGAUUGGAAUCUAUAGGAGACCUAUAUGGAGACGCAGGGCAAUGGGGGGAGGGAUUGGGGUGGGGGUUAUCCGGAGGUGUCCUGCUGGGAUGUGCUCCAGCCAUGAGAUUUGGGGGGGGGAACCCCCAAAUGUGGUCCUCUGGGAGAGCCGUGCAGACCCAUAGAUGGAUUGAAACGGGACAUACAGACGGAAAUGGGGGCAUACAGACGGAAAAUGGGGGCAUACAGACAGAAAUGGGGACAUACGGACACACAGAUGGAUAGAAAUGGGGACAUACAGACAGAGAAAUGGGGACAUAUUGGCACAUACAGACCUGCACCACGUAUAGAAAUGGGGAUGUGCAGACAAACAGACACAGAAAAUGGGACAGACGGACACAGAGACGGAUAGAGAUGGCAUACAGAGACACAGACAGACAGAAAUGGGGACACACAGACACACGGAUGUGUGGAAAUGGGGGCAUACGGACACACAGACACUGCAGAGGCACAUGCAUCAGGGAUCACAUACAUAUGGAUGCACACACAUGUAGAGGCACAUACGUGUAGAGGCACAUACAUGUGGAGCCAUGUAUACAUACAGGCACACACGUCAGGAGUUACACACGUGGGGGCACACACAGAGGUGCAUAUAGACACACAUAUGCACAUCUGGAGGCACAUAUAUGGGGCCACACACAUAUGGGACAUGUAUGUAUGGAGGCCAUACAUAGGCAGGCACAUACAUGUGGAGGCAUGAGCAUAGUGGGGCGCAAAGCUCCGACCCCAGCACCAAUGGGGUGCAUAGGGGGGGGCACAUCCUGCACCAGGAGCCCCCCCCAGGGAUGGGCACACCUGCACGCUGCUCGUUAGCUCGGUACAUCAAUUAAAUGCAUGCACAGAAUCACAGCUCCCCACUCGGGUGGGGGGGGGAGGAUGAGGAUGGGAGGGGGGGCUAUGGAGGAGGAAGAGCAGCAC
ensembl:lncRNA